rnacentral:tRNA from 1 species
GGGCUGAACGGUUCGUAGCCGGAACGUCUCCUCCAAGCGAACUGGCCACAUCAGGGUUCGAUUCCCUGUCAGCCCAC